UACGGAGGAUCCGAGCGUUAUCCGGAAUCAUUGGGUCUAAAGGGUCCGUAGGCGGGAUGAUAAGUCAGUGGUGAAAGUCUGCAGCUCAACUGUAGAACUGCCAUUGAUACUGUUGUCCUUGUGUCAUUAUGAAGCGGUUAGAAUAUGUAGUGUAGCGGUGAAAUGCAUAGAUAUUACAUAGAAUACCGAUUGCGAAGGCAGAUCACUAAUAAUGUACUGACGCUGAUGGACGAAAGCGUAGGUAGCGAACGGG
rnacentral:misc_RNA from 1 species